rnacentral:rRNA from 1 species
AUGGACACAUUCCUCUUCCUUGCCAUUCUUCCAUUGCUCACUGCUCUGCCAUGCUCAUAUGCUCAGUCGAUGCUAAGCACUGGCUCAUCCUUAUCUGUAGAAGAGCAUAGGCAGACCUUCCUUACCUCACCAAAUGAUGAUUUUUCUUGCGGCUUCUAUGAAGUUGGAGAGAAUGCAUUCUCCUUCUCUAUCUGGUUCACCACCACCAUGGAAAAGACUGUUGUAUGGUCUGCAAACCCCAGGUCCUUGGUGAAUGGCCAUGGUUCCAUGGUGUCUCUGAACCAUAAUGGAAACUUGGUCCUCACUGAUGUCAAUGGCACCGUAACUUGGGAGAGCAAGACAAGCUCUGGUGAGGGCACGGUGGUUUCCCUUCUUGACACCGGCAACCUCAUAAUCAAAGACUACACUGGUGCAAAUUUGUGGGAAAGCUUCUCUUCACCGACAGAUACAUUGCUGCCUUUACAGACUCUCAAAAAAGACUACACAGUGUUUCAAAAUGGGCGGACUAGCUACAACAGCUCUAGGAUUGCAGUCCUCGACACUGAAGGAUUUUUCCUCUCAAGUGAUGGGCUGAAUGUUAAGGCUUCUGAUUGGGGUAAUGGAGUCAAGCGAAGGCUUACAAUUGGGUCUGAUGGAAACCUCAGAAUGUACAGUCUGAAUGUGUCAAAUGGGAGUUGGAUAGUAUCAUGGCAGGCUAUAGCAAAAUUGUGCGAUGUGCAUGGGCUAUGUGGACAAAAUGGGAUAUGUGAGUUCUUGCCAAGUUUCAGGUGUUCAUGUCCCCCAGGAUAUGAGAUGACCGAUCCGGAAAACUGGAACAGAGGUUGCAAGCCGCAAUUCAGCAAAGGCUGCAGCAAAGCAGAAGAGUUUGACUUCAUCAAGCUCCCUCAAACCAACUUUUAUGGCUUUGAUCUGACCAAUAAUGUGUCCGUCUCACUUGAAGAAUGUAAAAAGACAUGCUUGGACAUUUGCUCCUGCUCAGCUCUCACGUACAAGGCAGGAUCUGGACUUUGCUACACCAAAGCUGUACUCUUCAAUGGUUACAGCUCCACAAAUUUUCCUGGCGACAACUAUAUCAAACUGCCCAAGAAUAUGAGCAUCUCCAGACAGUCCCGUAUCACAUGCAAUCCGGAUAUUCGAGUGGUUGUACAAGGAUCUGCAAGUAUGUAUGGAAUGAAUGAUGUCAACAAGAGUUAUACAAUUUAUUAUGUGUUCGCAGCAAUACUGGGAGCCCUAGUCUUGCUCUUUAUCGGUACAAGCUGGUCGUUUCUUUACAGCAAGCAAAAUAUACCUAAGUCAAUGGAAGAAGGUUAUAGGACUGUGAUGAGCCAGUUCAGGAUGUUCAUCUACAGGGAAUUACGGGAAGCAACUGGAAAGUUCAAGGAAGAGAUUGGAAGAGGGGGUUCGGGAAUUGUUUAUAGAGGGGUACUUGAAGAUAAGAGAGUGGUGGCAGUGAAGAAACUAACUAGCGUUUCACAUAGUGAGGAGGAAUUCUGGGCAGAAAUGAAUAUAAUCGGAAGGAUCAACCAUAUGAAUUUAGUAAGGGUGUGGGGGUUUUGCUCUGAGGGUCAACACAAACUGCUGGUGUACGAGUAUGUAGAGAGUGAAUCACUUGACAAGUUUAUAUUUGGUAAUGUAAGUGCUGAGAGAUUACUUGCAUGGAGCCAACGAUUCAAAAUAGCACUAGGAACAGCAAGAGGCUUGGCGUACCUCCAUCAUGAGUGCCUUGAAUGGGUAAUCCAUUGUGAUAUAAAGCCAGAGAACAUACUCCUGACCCGAGACUUCGAAGCAAAGAUAGCAGACUUCGGACUAGCCAAACUCUCAAAGAGAGACAGUUCCAGUUUCAAUCUCACCCACAUGAGAGGAACAAUGGGCUACAUGGCGCCAGAGUGGGCGCUGAAUUUGCCGAUCGACGCAAAGGUUGAUGUAUACAGUUAUGGCGUUGUACUUCUCGAGAUUGUGACUGGAAAUAGGAUCUCAAGUGGGAUUACAGUGGAUGGGAAAGAGGUGGAGUUUGACAGUUUGUGCAUGCAGUUAAAGAAUUGCUGGAGAGUGGAGAUGUCAAGGUUAUAG